UACAGAGGUCUCAAGCGUUGUUCGGAUUCAUUGGGCGUAAAGGGUGCGUAGGUGGCGCCGUAAGUCGGGUGUGAAAUUUCGGAGCUUAACUCCGAAACUGCAUUCGAUACUGCGGUGCUUGAGGACUGGAGAGGAGACUGGAAUUCAUGGUGUAGCAGUGAAAUGCGUAGAGAUCAUGAGGAAGACCAGCGGCGAAGGCGGGUCUCUGGACAGUUCCUGACACUGAGGCACGAAGGCCAGGGGAGCGAACGGG
rnacentral:rRNA from 1 species